UACGUAGGGGGCUAGCGUUGUCCGGAAUCAUUGGGCGUAAAGAGCGUGUAGGCGGCCCGGUAAGUCCGCUGUAAAAGUCAAAGGCUCAACCUUUGAAUGUCAGUGGAUACUGCCGGGCUAGAGUCCGGAAGAGGCGAGUGGAACUCCUGGUGUAGCGGUGGAAUGCGCAGAUAUCAGGAGGAACACCAAUAGCGAAGGCAGGUCUCUGGGCAUUAACUGACGCUGAGGAGCGAAAGCAUGGGGAGCGAACAGG
rnacentral:rRNA from 1 species